GUGGCUCAAAAGGGUAGGGCACUGGUUUCAUAAGCCAGAGGCGGCAGGUUCAAACCCAGCC
rnacentral:tRNA from 1 species